AUCCAGUCGAGUGUUAAGCGUCAGAGGAGCGGAGCGCGAGAGAGCUGAAUACCACAAUCAUGGCAACCACAACAGCAGAAGCCGAAACCCGCCAGAGACUGCUACGAAACGUGAAGAAGGAGGUCAAGCAGAUCAUGGAGGAAGCAGUCACAAGAAAGUUUGUUCAUGAAGACAGCAGCCAUAUUGUCUCAUUCUGUG